ACACCAGGACUUGUCUCCCCAGA
rnacentral:miRNA from 1 species